rnacentral:rRNA from 3 species
AGCAACAAAUGCCCUGCUUCCAGGAAAAGCCUCUAAGCCUCAGGUAACAUCAAAUCGUACCCCAAACCGACACAGGUGGUCAGGUAGAGAAUACCAAGGCGCUUGAGAGAACUCGGGUGAAGGAACUAGGCAAAAUGGUGCCGUAACUUCGGGAGAAGGCACGCUGACACGUAGGUGAAGUGGUUUACCCAUGGAGCUGAAGUCAGUCGAAGAUACCAGCUGGCUGCAACUGUUUAUUAAAAACACAGCACUGUGCAAACACGAAAGUGGACGUAUACGGUGUGACGCCUGCCCGGUGCCGGAAGGUUAAUUGAUGGGGUCAGCGCAAGCGAAGCUCCUGAUCGAAGCCCCGGUAAACGGCGGCCGUAACUAUAACGGUCCUAAGGUAGCGAAAUUCCUUGUCGGGUAAGUUCCGACCUGCACGAAUGGCGUAAUGAUGGCCAGGCUGUCUCCACCCGGGACUCAGUGAAAUUGAACUCGCUGUGAAGAUGCAGUGUACCCGCGGCAAGACGGAAAGACCCCGUGAACCUUUACUAUAGCUUGACACUGAACACUGGUCCUUGAUGUGCAGGAUAGGUGGGAGGCUUUGAAGUGUGGACGCCAGUCUGCAUGGAGCCAUCCUUGAAAUACCACCCUUUAAUGGCUGGUGUUCUAACGUGGGCCCGUGAACCGGGUUGCGGACAGUGUCUGGUGGGUAGUUUGACUGGGGCGGUCUCCUCCUAAAGAGUAACGGAGGAGCACGAAGGUUGGCUAAUCCUGGUCGGACAUCAGGAGGUUAGUGCAAUGGCAUAAGCCAGCUUGACUGCGAGCGUGACGGCGCGAGCAGGUGCGAAAGCAGGUCAUAGUGAUCCGGUGGUUCUGAAUGGAAGGGCCAUCGCUCAACGGAUAAAAGGUACUCCGGGGAUAACAGGCUGAUACCGCCCAAGAGUUCAUAUCGACGGCGGUGUUUGGCACCUCGAUGUCGGCUCAUCACAUCCUGGGGCUGAAGUAGGUCCCAAGGGUAUGGCUGUUCGCCAUUUAAAGUGGUACGCGAGCUGGGUUUAGAACGUCGUGAGACAGUUCGGUCCCUAUCUGCCGUGGGCGCUGGAAGAUUGAGGGGGGCUGCUCCUAGUACGAGAGGACCGGAGUGGACGCAUCACUGGUGUUCGGGUUGUCAUGCCAAUGGCACUGCCCGGUAGCUACAUGCGGAAGAGAUAAGUGCUGAAAGCAUCUAAGCACGAAACUUGCCCCGAGAUGAAUCUUCCCUGAGCCUUUAAGGCUCCUGAAGGAACGUUGAAGACGACGACGUUGAUAGGCCGGGUGUGUAAGCGCAGCGAUGCGUUGAGCUAACCGGUACUAAUGAACCGUGAGGCUUAACCUUACAACGCCGAAG